rnacentral:rRNA from 1 species
GAUGAACGCUGGCGGCGUGCUUAACACAUGCAAGUCGAACGGAGAUGUUGUGUGAGCGGAGAGUGCUUGCACUUGACAAUCUUUCAACAUCUUAGUGGCGGACGGGUGAGUAACGCGUGGGUAACCUGCCUCAUACAGGGGGGAUAACACUUAGAAAUAGGUGCUAAUACCGCAUAAGCGCACAGAGUCGCAUGACUCAGUGUGAAAAACUCCGGUGGUAUGAGAUGGACCCGCGUCUGAUUAGCUAGUUGGUGAGGUAACGGCUCACCAAGGCGACGAUCAGUAGCCGGCCUGAGAGGGUGAACGGCCACAUUGGGACUGAGACACGGCCCAAACUCCUACGGGGAGGCAGCAGUGGGGAAUAUUGCACAAUGGGCGAAAGCCUGAUGCAGCGACGCCGCGUGAACGAAGAAGUAUUUCGGUAUGUAAAGUUCUAUCAGCAGGGAGAAAAUGACGGUACCUGACUAAG